AGUGAACGCUGGCGGUAGGCCUAACACAUGCAAGUCGAACGGCAGCACAGUAAGAGCCUGCUCUUACGGGUGGCGAGUGGCGGACGGGUGAGGAAUACAUCGGAAUCUACUUUUUCGUGGGGGAUAACGUAGGGAAACUUACGCUAAUACCGCAUACGACCUACGGGUGAAAGCAGGGGAUCUUCGGACCUUGCGCGAUUGAAUGAGCCGAUGUCGGAUUAGCUAGUUGGCGGGGUAAAGGCCCACCAAGGCGACGAUCCGUAGCUGGUCUGAGAGGAUGAUCAGCCACACUGGAACUGAGACACGGUCCAGACUCCUACGGGAGGCAGCAGUGGGGAAUAUUGGACAAUGGGCGCAAGCCUGAUCCAGCCAUACCGCGUGGGUGAAGAAGGCCUUCGGGUUGUAAAGCCCUUUUGUUGGGAAAGAAAGGCAGCAGGUUAAUACCCCGCUGUUCUGACGGUACCCAAAGAAUAAGCACCGGCUAACUUCGUG
rnacentral:rRNA from 1 species